UAUUGCUGGAAGGAAAUUGGACCUCGAGACCCAGAUUCCUAAAAGAAUGGACAGAAGAAGAAGGGUGAAAAGAAUAAUGAAAAUUAUCCACCUGCGAGUAAAAAAGGGUAUUUACCGCACAGUAAGAAACCCACACUGACCCCUUCAACUUCG
rnacentral:sRNA from 12 species